rnacentral:lncRNA from 1 species
GGGGUGGGGACUUGUACUUGUAAGGGUGCUUGGGGGGUGAUGGUGGUGGUGGUGGAGGUGACUUGUACUUGUAGGGGUGCUUGGGUGGUGACGGUGGUGGUGGUGGGGGGGACUUGUACUUGUAGGGAUGCUUUGGUGGGGAUGGUGGUGGUGGUGGUGGGGACUUGUACUUGUAGGGAUGCUUAGGUGGGGAUGGUGGUGGUGGUGGAGACUUGUAUUUGUAAGGAUGCUUUGGUGGUGAUGUUGGUGGAGGUGGUGGGGACUUGUACUUGUAAGGGUGCUUGGGUGGUGAUGGAGGUGGAGGUGGUGGAGACUUAUACUUGUAAACUGGAGGUGGUGGGGGUGGAGACUUGUACUUGUAGGGGUGCUUGGGUGAUGAUGGAGGUGGAGGUGGUGGAGACUUAUACUUGUAAACUGGAGGUGGUGGGGGUGGAGACUUGUACUUGUAAGGGUGCUUGGGUGGUGAUGGUGGGGGUGGGGACUUGUACUUGUAGGGGUGUUUAGGUGGUGAUGGUGGUGGUGGUGGUGGGGACUUGUACUUGUAAGGAUGCUUGGGUGGUGAUGGUGGUGGAGGUGGAGGAGACUUGUACUUGUAAGGAUGCUUGGGUGGUGAUGGUGGUGGAGGUGGUGGAGACUUAUACUUGUAAACAGGAGUUGGUGGGGGAGGAGAUUUGUACUUGUAAGGUUUCUUGUGUGGUGGUGGUGGAGGAGAGUAGACCGGAGGAGGCGGUGGGGGAGACUUGUAAUGGUAGGGUGGUGGUGGGUAUUUCUUAGGAGGUGGUGGAGGAGAAG